rnacentral:rRNA from 1 species
UACAGAGGUCUCAAGCGUUGUUUCGGAUUCAUUUGGGCGUAAAGGGUGCGUAGGCGGCGCGGUAAGUCGGGUGUGAAAUCUCGGAGCUUUAACUCCGAAACUGCAUUUCGAUACUGCCGUGCUUUGAGGACUGGAGAGGAGACUGGAAUUUUACGGUGUAGCGGUGAAAUGCGCAGAUAUCAGGAAGAACACCCGUGGCGAAGGCGGUUCUCUGGGACGGUACUGACGCUGGAGACGCGAAAGCGUGGGGAGCGAACAGG